rnacentral:rRNA from 1 species
UACAGAGGGUGCGAGCGUUGUCCGGAAUCACUGGGCGUAAAGGGCGCGUAGGCGGAUGUCUAAGUUGGGGGUGAAAGCCCGGGGCUCAACCUCGGAACUGCCUUCAAUACUGGACAUCUUGAGUACGGGAGAGGUGAGUGGAACUCCGAGUGUAGAGGUGAAAUUCGUAGAUAUUCGGAAGAACACCAGUGGCGAAGGCGACUCACUGGCCCGUUACUGACGCUGAGGCGCGAAAGCGUGGGGAGCAAACAGG